rnacentral:sRNA from 1 species
CGGUGUAAGGAUGAUGUUCCUGGACACCUGUCACUCAAUUGAUUGCCAAACUUGAUUGGGCUGAUCUGCCUGGCUAGGCAAGUGUCCCCUUUCUCCCUCACUGCUUCAUGUGCAUCCCUCCUCAAGCUGCGUGCUCAGUGGAAGGGGACAAUAAUCCCAAAUAGAAGAUGUGUACCAUGUGUAUACAAUUGCUUACUGCUUUUGUUAUGUUAAAGCAUAUGUUUGGUAUGUUAUUAAAUAU